AUUGAACGCUGGCGGCAGGCCUAACACAUGCAAGUCGAGCGGAUGAAGGGAGCUUGCACCUGGAUUCAGCGGCGGACGGGUGAGUAAUGCCUAGGAAUCUGCCUGGUAGUGGGGGAUAACGUCCGGAAACGGGCGCUAAUACCGCAUACGUCCUGAGGGAGAAAGUGGGGGAUCUUCGGACCUCACGCUAUCAGAUGAGCCUAGGUCGGAUUAGCUAGUUGGUGGGGUAAAGGCCUACCAAGGCGACGAUCCGUAACUGGUCUGAGAGGAUGAUCAGUCACACUGGAACUGAGACACGGUCCAGACUCCUACGGGAGGCAGCAGUGGGGAAUAUUGGACAAUGGGCGAAAGCCUGAUCCAGCCAUGCCGCGUGUGUGAAGAAGGUCUUCGGAUUGUAAAGCACUUUAAGUUGGGAGGAAGGGCAGUAAGUUAAUACCUUGCUGUUUUGACGUUACCAACAGAAUAAGCACCGGCUAACUUCGUG
rnacentral:rRNA from 1 species